AGAGUUUGAUCCUGGCUCAGAUUGAACGCUGGCGGUAGGCUUAACACAUGCAAGUCGAGCGGUAACAGAGAAUAGCUUGCUAUUCUGCUGACGAGCGGCGGAAGGGAGAGUAACGCGUAGGAAACUGCCUGGCAGUGGGGGAUAGCCCAGAGAAAUUUGGAUUAAUACCGCAUACGCCCUACGGGGGAAAAGGGGCUUCGGCUUCGGCUCUUGCUAUUAGAUGUGCCUGCGUAGGAUUAGCUUGUUGGUGAGGUAAUGGCUCACCAAGGCAACGAUCCUUAGCUGGUUUGAGAGGAUGAUCAGCCACACUGGGACUGAGACACGGCCCAGACUCCUACGGGAGGCAGCAGUGGGGGAUAUUGCACAAUGGGCGCAAGCCUGAUGCAGCCAUACCGCGUGUGUGAAGAAGGCCUUAGGGUUGUAAAGCACUUUCAGUAGGGAGGAAAGCUUGUGGCUUAAUACGCUAUAAGCUGUGACGUUAACUGCAGAAGAAGGACCGGCUAACUCCGUGCCAGCAGCCGCGGUAAUACGGAGGGUCCGAGCGUUAAUCGGAAUUACUGGGCGUAAAGCGCGCGUAGGUGGUUUGUUAAGUUGGAUGUGAAAUCCCCGGGCUCAACCUGGGAACUGCAUCUGAUACUGGCUAACUAGAGUACAGUAGAGGGAAGUGGAAUUUCAGGUGUAGCGGUGAAAUGCGUAGAGAUCUGAAGGAACACCAGUGGCGAAGGCGACCACCUGGUCUGAUACUGACGCUGAGGUGCGAAAGCGUGGGGAGCAAACAGGAUUAGAUACCCUGGUAGUCCACGCCGUAAACGAUGUCUACUAGCCGUUGGGAGACUUGAUCUCUUAGUGGCGCAGCUAACGCAAUAAGUAGACCGCCUGGGGAGUACGGCCGCAAGGUUAAAACUCAAAUGAAUUGACGGGGGCCCGCACAAGCGGUGGAGCAUGUGGUUUAAUUCGAUGCAACGCGAAGAACCUUACCUGGUCUUGACAUCCUACAUCAUACGAACUUACUAGAGAUGGAUUGGUGCCUUCGGGAACGUAGUGACAGGUGCUGCAUGGCUGUCGUCAGCUCGUGUUGUGAAAUGUUGGGUUAAGUCCCGUAACGAGCGCAAUCCUUGUCCUUAGUUGCCAUCAGGUAAUGUUGGGAACUUUAAGGAGACUGCCGGUGAUAAACCGGAGGAAGGUGGGGACGACGUUAAGUCAUUAUGGCCCUUACGACCUGGGCUACACACGUGCUACAAUGGCCGGUACAGAGGGUUGCCAAACCGCGAGGUGGAGCUAAUCCCAGAAAGCCGGUCGUAGUUCGGAUUGGAGUCUGCAACUCGACUCCAUGAAGCCGGAAUCGCUAGUAAUCGCGAAUCAGAAUGUCACGGUGAAUACGUUCCCGGGCCUUGUACACACCGCCCGUUAUACCAUGGGAGUGGGUUGCAAAAGAAGUGGGUAGACUAGCCUUCGGGGGGUCGCUCACCACUUUGUGAUUCAUGACUGGGGUGAAGUCGUAACAAGGUAGCC
rnacentral:rRNA from 1 species